CGGGCCUUGUACACACCGCCCGUCACACCAUGGGAGUGGGUUGCACCAGAAGUAGAUAGCUUAACCUUCGGGAGGGCGUUUACCACGGUGUGAUUCAUGACUGGGGUGAAGUCGUAACAAGGUAACCCUAGGGGAACCUGGGGUUGGAUCACCUCCUUACCUUAA
rnacentral:rRNA from 1 species